AUACGUAGGAGGCGAGCGUUGUUCGGAAUCACUGGGCUUAAAGAGCGUGUAGGCGGAGUGUCAGGUGUCUUGUGAAAUCCCCGGGCUCAACCCGGGAACUGCUGGGCAAACCGGCACUCUUGAGGCAGGUAGAGGUCAUUGGAACGACUGGUGGAGCGGUGAAAUGCGUAGAUAUCAGUUGGAACGCCGGAGGCGAAAGCGAGUGACUGGGCCUGUUCUGACGCUGAGACGCGAAAGCGUGGGUAGCAAACAGGAUUAGAAACCCCAGUAGUCC
rnacentral:rRNA from 1 species